UCGUGUCGUAGAUGUUCGGUUAAGUCCGGCAACGAGCGCAACCCACAUCUUUAGUUGCCAGCAGGUUAAGUUGGGCACUCUAAAGAAACUGCCCGUGAUAAGCGGGAGGAAGGUGUGGAUGACGUCAAGUCCUCAUGGCCCUUACGGGUUGGGCUACACACGUGCUACAAUGGCAGUGACAAUGGGUUAAUCCCAAAAAGCUGUCUCAGUUCGGAUUGGGGUCUGCAACUCGACCCCAUGAAGUCGGAAUCGCUAGUAAUCGCGUAACAGCAUGACGCGGUGAAUACGUUCCCGGGCCUUGUACACACCGCCCGUCACACCAUGGGAGUUGGUUCUACCCGACGACGCUGCGCUAACCUUCGGGGGGCAGGCGGCCACGGUAGGAACAGCGACUGGGGUG
rnacentral:rRNA from 1 species